UGAGCAAUCUGCCCUUAACUCUGGGAUAAGCCUGGGAAACUGGGUCUAAUACCGGAUAUGACUCCUCAUCGCAUGGUGGGGGGUGGAAAGCUUUAUUGUGGUUUUGGAUGGACUCGCGGCCUAUCAGCUUGUUGGUGAGGUAAUGGCUCACCAAGGCGACGACGGGUAGCUGGCUUGAGAGGGUGACCGGCCACACUGGGACUGAGACACGGCCCAGACUCCUACGGGAGCAG
rnacentral:rRNA from 1 species